GGCAGUAAAAGUCGUAACAAGGUCUCCGUAGGUGAACCUGCGGAGGGAUCAUUACAGAGUUCAUGCCCUCACGGGUAGAUCUCCCACCCUGUGUUAUUAUACUUUGUUGCUUUGGCAGGCCGCCCGCGUGGGCUACCGGCUCCAGCUGGUAAGUGCCUGCCAGAGGACCCCAAACUCUGAAUAUUUUAUUGUCUGAGUACUAUAUAAUAGUUUAAAACUUUCAACAACGGAUCCCUUGGUUCUG
rnacentral:misc_RNA from 1 species